AGGCGGCCUAUACAUGCAAGUCGGACGGGAUCCAUCGGUAGCUUGCUAUCCAUGGUGAGAGUGGCGCACGGGUGCGUAACGCGUGAGCAACCUGCCUCCAUCAGGGGGAUAGCCUCUCGAAAGAGAGAUAACACCGCAUAACAUAAUGUUCCGGCAUGGAGGAUUAUUAAAUAUUUAUAGGAUGGAGAUGGGCUCGCGUGACAUUAGCUUGUUGGUGGGGUAACGGCUUACCAAGGCGACGAUGUCUAGGGGCUCUGAGAGGAGAAUCCCCCACACUGGUACUGAGACACGGACCAGACUCCUACGGGAGGCAGCAGUAAGGAAUAUUGGUCAAUGGGCGGAAGCCUGAACCAGCCAUGCCGCGUGCAGGAUGACUGCCCUAUGGGUUGUAAACUGCUUUUGUCCGGGAAUAAACCUCCUUACGAGUAGGGAGCUGAAUGUACCGGAAGAAUAAGGAUCGGCUAACUCCGUGCCAGCAGCCGCGGUAAUACGGAGGAUCCGAGCGUUAUCCGGAUUUAUUGGGUUUAAAGGGUGCGUAGGCGGCCCGUUAAGUCAGGGGUGAAAUACGGUGGCUCAACCAUCGCAGUGCCUUUGAUACUGACGGGCUUGAAUCCAUAUGAAGUGGGCGGAAUAAGACAAGUAGCGGUGAAAUGCAUAGAUAUGUCUUAGAACUCCGAUUGCGAAGGCAGCUCACUAAGCUGGUAUUGACGCUGAUGCACGAAAGCGUGGG
rnacentral:rRNA from 1 species